rnacentral:rRNA from 1 species
UACGUAGGGUCCGAGCGUUGUCCGGAAUUACUGGGCGUAAAGAGCUCGUAGGUGGUUUGUCGCGUUGUUCGUGAAAACUCACAGCUUAACUGUGGGCGUGCGGGCGAUACGGGCAGACUAGAGUACUGCAGGGGAGACUGGAAUUCCUGGUGUAGCGGUGGAAUGCGCAGAUAUCAGGAGGAACACCGGUGGCGAAGGCGGGUCUCUGGGCAGUAACUGACGCUGAGGUGCGAAAGCGUGGGGAGCAAACAGG